rnacentral:rRNA from 1 species
GGAAUAUUGGUCAAUGGAGGCAACUCUGAACCAGCCAUGCCGCGUGCAGGAUGACGGUCCUAUGGAUUGUAAACUGCUUUUGUACGGGAAGAAAUGUAUUUACGUGUAGAUAUUUGACGGUACCGUAAGAAUAAGGAUCGGCUAACUCCGUUCCAGCAGCCGCGGUAAUACGGAGGAUCCAAGCGUUAUCCGGAAUCAUUGGGUUUAAAGGGUUCGUAGGCGGUUUAAUAAGUCAGUGGUGAAAUCUUGCAGCUUAACUGUAAAAUGGCCAUUGAUACUGUUAGACUUGAAUUGUAUGGAAGUAACUAGAAUAUGUAGUGUAGCGGUGAAAUGCUUAGAUAUUACAUAGAAUACCAAUUGCGAAGGCAGGUUACUACAUACAUAUUGACGCUGAUGAACGAAAGCGUGGGGAGC